GCCAGUUCAGUAGGUAUCCUGAAAGUCUUAGUGCUCCAAAUAAAACUCAAAAUGCAACCGAUAUUUUUUUGCCUUUUCUUCGGUCUAUUUUUCGUCUCGGUCUCUGCUCGGAGCCAAGAAACUCAUCUCAUGAUACAAAAUUUUUCGAAAGAAGACAUCAUAACGACCAUUGUAAGUGGCGUAGACGGUUUCGAUUUUGAAGAUGGAAACGGUCCAAUAGAGAGGUUUCAAAAUAAGGCAAUUCCCUCAGGAGCUACUGUUGAAACAAGAAUGGAAGUGAACUAUUACGCAUCAAAUUGUCCUUUCACCAUGACUUUUUGGUUUGAAGACAAUUCAAGCGCAUGGUAUAGAAUUAACCAGAAGUACGCGAUCGGUGAAGCAGAAGCGGGUUUUUCAACUGGUGGGACCCGCAACAUUUCAUACCGUAAAACUGGAAUUACUAUUGUGAUAACAGUUUUAGAUAAGUAGAUUAUAAUAUAACUACCAGCUUACGGCACACUGUGCCAUUAUAUUGCAUUGUGCUAUAGUAGUAUAAAGUAGUGAUUACAACAAAAUCAACAGAUAAAUAAACAGGUCCCUAAAUGUAAGGAAAAUAAAAUUUAUUUGUUUUUAA